ensembl:lncRNA
UGGAGCUAUAAACAGGAGUACCAGUACCAGAUCAAUGUGGAGCUAUAAACAGGGAGUACCAGUACCAGAUCAAUGUGGAGCUAUAAACAGGGAGUACCAGAUCAAUGUGGAGCUAUAAACAGGGAGUACCAGUACCAGAUCAAUGUGGAGCUAUAAACAGGGAGUACCAGUAACAGAUCAAUGUGGAGCUAUAAACAGGGAGUACCAGUACCAGAUCAAUGUGGAGCUAUAUAGAGGGAGUACCAGUACCAGAUCAAUGUGUAGCUCUAAACAGGGAGUACCAGUACCAGAUCAAUGUGGAGCUAUAAACAGGGAGUACCAGUACCAG